rnacentral:rRNA from 1 species
UGGAUGUUAAUACCAUCCACUACUGACGGUAUCUUGAGAAGAAGCACCGGCUAACUACGUGCCAGCAGCCGCGGUAAUACGUAGGGUGCAAGCGUUAAUCGGAAUUACUGGGCGUAAAGCGUGCGCAGGCGGUUUGAGAAGUCAGAUGUGAAAUCCCCGGGCUUAACCUGGGAAUGGCGUUUGAAACUCUCAAGCUAGAGUUUGGCAGAGGGGGGUAGAAUUCCACGUGUAGCAGUGAAAUGCGUAGAUAUGUGGAGGAAUACCGAUGGCGAAGGCAGCCCCCUGGGCCGAAACUGACGCUCAUGCACGAAAGCGUGGGGAGCAAACAGGAUUAGAUACCCUGGUAGCCCACGCCCUAAACGAUGUCAACUGGUUGUUGGGAGAGUGAAAUCUCUUAGUAACGAAGCUAACGCGUGAAGUUGACCGCCUGGGGAGUACGGUCGCAAGAUUAAAACUCAAAGGAAUUGACGGA